rnacentral:rRNA from 1 species
CCUACGGGUGGCAGCAGUGAGGAAUAUUGGUCAAUGGACGCAAGUCUGAACCAGCCAUGCCGCGUGCAGGAAGACGGCUCUAUGAGUUGUAAACUGCUUUUGUACGAGGGUAAACGCAGAUACGCGUAUCUGUCUGAAAGUAUCGUACGAAUAAGGAUCGGCUAACUCCGUGCCAGCAGCCGAGGUAAUACGGAGGAUUCAAGCGUUAUCCGGAUUUAUUGGGUUUAAAGGGUGCGUAGGCGGUCGGAUAAGUUAGAGGUGAAAUCCCGAGGCUCAACUUCGGAAUUGCCUCUGAUACUGUUCGGCUAGAGAGUAGUUGCGGUAGGCGGAAUGUAUGGUGUAGCGGUGAAAUGCUUAGAGAUCAUACAGAACACCGAUUGCGAAGGCAGCUUACCAAGCUACUUCUGACGUUGAGGCUCGAAAGCGUGGGGAGCGAACAGGAUUAGAUACCCUAGUAGUC